rnacentral:rRNA from 1 species
AGCGAACGCUGGCGGCAGGCUUAACACAUGCAAGUCGAACGGGCUUCUUCGGACGUCAGUGGCAGACGGGUGAGUAACACGUGGGAACGUGCCCUUCGGUUCGGAAUAACUCAGGGAAACUUGAGCUAAUACCGGAUACGCCCUUUUGGGGAAAGGUUGACUGCUGAAGGAUCGGCCCGCGUCUGAUUAGCUUGUUGGUGGGGUAACGGCCUACCAAGGCGACGAUCAGUAGCUGGUCUGAGAGGAUGAUCAGCCACACUGGGACUGAGACACGGCCCAGACUCCUACGGGAGGCAGCAGUGGGGAAUAUUGGGCAAUGGGCGCAAGCCUGAUCCAGCCAUGCCGCGUGAGUGAUGAAGGCCUUAGGGUUGUAAAGCUCUUUUGUCCGGGACGAUAAUGACGGUACCGGAAGAAUAAGCCCCGGCUAACUUCGUG